rnacentral:lncRNA from 1 species
CGGAAUCGCCUGUCUACCAAAGCCUCCACUGGAACUAGCAGUGCCACCCCUGAACUGUCUCCUACCUGUCUGUCCAGGCCUCCUGAAGCGUCCCCUGAAACGCUGACGAGAGCUAGAAUCUGAACUGCUCGGCCUACUGCCUGAUGACGAUGCAGAACCCGAACUAGAGGCAAUUCUCUUAGAUGGCCCCUGACUAGGACCGCCAAUCUCCAAAGGUCGGGAACCGUCCAGAUAUCUAGCCUCACACCUCAUAGAAGCCUCCACAGCUAACUUAAAAGUCGGAUAAUCAUGAGGCGCCAACCAAUCUCGAUAUAUAGGUAGGAGGCCAUUGAUAAACUGAUCAACCUUCAACUUUUCUGUCGCCACCAACCCAGGG